rnacentral:tRNA from 2 species
CGGAACAUAGCUUAAUUAAAGCAUCUCGCUUACACCGAGAAAAUAUUUGUUGAACUCAAAUUAUUUCGA